UUCCGUAGGGUGACCUGCGGAGGGAUCAUUACCGAGUUUACAACUCUCAAACCCCUGUGAACAUACCUUAAACGUUGCCUCGGCGGAUCAGCCCGCGCCCCGUAAAACGGGACGGCCCGCCAGAGGAACCCCAAACUCUAUUGUCUUUAUUGUAUCUUCUGAGUAAAAAACAAACAAAUAAAUCAAAACUUUCAACAACGGAUCUCUUGGUUCUGGCAUCGAUGAAGAACGCAGCAAAAUGCGAUAAGUAAUGUGAAUUGCAGAAUUCAGUGAAUCAUCGAAUCUUUGAACGCACAUUGCGCCCGCCAGUAUUCUGGCGGGCAUGCCUGUUCGAGCGUCAUUUCAACCCUCAAACCCCCCCGGGUUUGGUGUUGGGGAUCGGCCGUGUUCUUGCAACCGGCCGGCCCCGAAAUCUAGUGGCGGUCUCGCUGCAGCCUCCAUUGCGUAGUAGCUAACACCUCGCAACUGGAACGCGGCGCGGCCAAGCCGUUAAACACCCCAACUUCUGAAUGUUGACCUCGGAUCAGGUAGGAAUACCCGCUGAACUUAAGCAUAUCAAUAAGGCGGAGGAAA
rnacentral:rRNA from 1 species